AUGAACGCUGGCGGCGUGCCUAAUACAUGCAAGUCGAGCGAAUGGAUUAAGAGCUUGCUCUUAUGAAGUUAGCGGCGGACGGGUGAGUAACACGUGGGUAACCUACCCAUAAGACUGGGAUAACUCCGGGAAACCGGGGCUAAUACCGGAUAAUAUUUUGAACUGCAUAGUUCGAAAUUGAAAGGCGGCUUCGGCUGUCACUUAUGGAUGGACCCGCGUCGCAUUAGCUAGUUGGUGAGGUAACGGCUCACCAAGGCGACGAUGCGUAGCCG
rnacentral:rRNA from 7 species